CUCAAUCAGAGGUGCUGUAUAUUUGACAUGAUUUCUUGCCUCUCUUUCAGUGUUUUUAUUUCUUGUUUCCCUCACUAAUAAGACUUACAAGUUAGAAUGUGUAUGCCAUGCUUGAAUUGGUUUUGCAGGUAUCUCAAGUAGCUGAGGGUUCCAGCACUGGUUGCUCCGUGCCAACCAGCACUGCUAGAAGUUGGACCCGAAGAAAUGGGUGGAAAGAGGAAAAAGAGGAAGAGGAUGGAGUCAGAUGAUUAGUUUGGCAUUGGAAUUUGAAAAACAUGGUAGUAAUUCAUUCUUGCAGGUAAAAUGGCUGCAACUAUUUAUCUUCUAUCCUUGUUUAAAUGGUUGGAUUAAAUCAACAAAUACGAGAUGCCUGGAUGAUCUUUGUUCUUGAUGUUUGCAUUAGGUUGGUUGGUUACCUAUGUGAUGAUCAACUCGACAUUGGUGGGAAGUAAUUCCAGCUGUUUCAUUAGCUACAACAAUUUGUCUUAUUUCAUGUGUUUGUUGUGUGAACUUCCAGAAAUAAGGGUAAUGUUAUGUGUUUAGUAAUUUAUUGUACGAACCUUCAAAAACGAAAGGCAUAAUGUUUACUCAUUUGUGUGCUUAUUGUUUAAUGUGUGGAUUCUUAUUCUCCUCAUUUUGAUGUUCUAUUUCUAUUACGG
rnacentral:lncRNA from 1 species